AUUGAACGCUAGCGGCAGGCCUAACACAUGCAAGUCGAACGAGUGGCGGACGGGUGAGUAAUGUCUGGGAAACUGCCUGAUGGAGGGGGAUAACUACUGGAAACGGUAGCUAAUACAGCAAACCAUCGGAUGUGCCCAGAUGGGAUUAGCUAGUAGGUGGGGUAAAGUCUCACCUAGGCGACGAUCCCUAGCUGGUCUGAGAGGAUGACCCGCCACACUGGAACUGAGAUACGGUCCAGACUACUACGGGAGGCAGCAGUGGUGAAUAUUGCACAAUGGGCGAAAGCCUGAUGCAGCCAUGCCGCGUGUAUGAAGAAGGCCUUCGGGUUGUAAAGUACUUUCAGCGGAGAGGCGUUACCCACAGAAGAAGCACCGGCUAACUCCGUGCCAGCAGCCGCGGUAAUAC
rnacentral:rRNA from 1 species